UAAGUCCCGUUUGGGGAGUUGUCCGUACGCCCCAGUAGCUCAAGGGAGCGGCGUUCUGGUAACAGAGGGUCGUGAGUUCCCAAUUGGCAAAACAGCAGGCCGUAACGCAAGUGAACCUAUAUGUAGCCUCGUUACAAUUAUCAAAGAUGCCGACCCGGUGGACACACGGGGAAGGCCGUUGCACGUAGACUAUGACAACGGAAGCAGUCUGCGGGAUCUUUCGGGGUAGCAGGGAU
rfam:Desulfuromonadales bacterium C00003093 3730_contig_21519, whole genome shotgun sequence.